rnacentral:rRNA from 1 species
AAAUUGAAGAGUUUGAUCAUGGCUCAGAUUGAACGCUGGCGGCAGGCCUAACACAUGCAAGUCGAACGGUAACAGGAAGCGCUUGCUGCUUCGCUGACGAGUGGCGGACGGGUGAGUAAUGUCUGGGAAACUGCCUGAUGGAGGGGGAUAACUACUGGAAACGGUAGCUAAUACCGCAUAACGUCGCAAGAC